UGAAAUUUCACCAUUUUUUGAGACGAGCUGGAAGAAGUUUGUAACUUGUUGUCAGCAAUGGCAAGAAUUGGAUGGAAAGGAGAGGGGAGUUGCCCAAAAAAGCAAAGAUAUAGCGAAAAACGAACGAUCAAAGGCCGAGUAUGGCUACCACCGGCAUUGGCAGAUAUUCUGCAAUGUAUCAAAAAUAAAGCGAGCAAAACUGAGGAUGGAGAAGAGCUCAACUAGUGAAGGAGGUGAUGGCGCAGGAGAUGUGGUAAUCCCCCGCAAGAGAAGACGCACAGGAGAGAAAGAGCAAAGGACCAGGCAUGUUCUACCAGUGGAGUGCAUCAUAUGCAAGAAGAGCAAAUGGAUCCAGCCGCCAUUUGGACCGCGGAAAAAAAGAGCCACUCACAAACUGUGAAUAUGAAAAAGGUGGACAACUUCUCAAGACUGCUGAACUACUCAAUGAUGAAUCCAUCCUUCUUGAUAUUCAAGGUCAAGACAUGGUGGCAAUCGAAGUCCGGUAUCACAGAUCAUGCCACAAGAAUUACAUCAAGGCGACUUGCCGUGUACAGACUUGUGUCGUUGCAGUGAUUGUGAGAACACCACU